UACGAAGGGGGCUAGCGUUGCUCGGAAUUACUGGGCGUAAAGCGCACGUAGGCGGCUUCUUAAGUCGGUGGUGAAAUCCUGGAGCUCAACUCCAGAACUGCCUUCGAUACUGGGAAGCUCGAGUCCGGGAGAGGUGAGUGGAACUGCGAGUGUAGAGGUGAAAUUCGUAGAUAUUCGCAAGAACACCAGUGGCGAAGGCGGCUCACUGGCCCGGUACUGACGCUGAGGUGCGAAGGCGUGGGGAGCAAACAGG
rnacentral:rRNA from 1 species